UACGAAGGGGCUAGCGUUGCUCGGAAUCACUGGGCGUAAAGCGCACGUAGGCGGAUUGUUAAGUCAGGGGUGAAAUCCUGGAGCUCAACUCCAGAACUGCCUUUGAUACUGAGAAGCUUGAGUCCGGGAGAGGUGAGUGGAACUGCGAGUGUAGAGGUGAAAUUCGUAGAUAUUCGCAAAGAACACCAGUGGCGAAGGCGGCUCACUGGCCCGGUACUGACGCUGAGGUGCGAAA
rnacentral:rRNA from 1 species